AGAAGAAUAGCUCAGUGGUAGAGUGCAAGCUUAGCAUACAUGAGGUCUUGGGUUCAAUCCCCAGUACCUCCA
rnacentral:tRNA from 1 species